rnacentral:lncRNA from 10 species
AGGUGAGGGCGUGUGGCUGAAGCCUGUUCCUGCUUGGGGGUUGGCCACACAGCAUCCCAACUCCAGGUCCAGAGCCGAGCCUGACAGCCCUCCUCCACUGCCUCCUGGAGCUGCCGGAGAGAGGUCCGGGUCCGUUCUCCCCAAUUCACAGACAUGAAGACUGAGGCCGUGGUUCCAGUGGCUGCUCGGUGGUGGGGCUGGAGCUUGGCAGCAUCCUGCAGCCCUCUGGACUCCCGGCUCUCGAGUGCCGCGUUCUACCUGCUGUGUUCUAAAUGGACAUGCCAUCCCCACAGCUGUGUCAAUAAAGCAGCCAUUUACAGAGCGGGCGCCGGAUCCCGUGACAGGUUGAAAACAGCUGCCGUGUGCCAUUGGCACCUCCUGUGUGCCAAGUGCUGGCUUAGUCUCCCCUGGCGUUUUCUCAUAUCCCAUUAACAACCCACCCAGUGGGUAUCAUCAUCCCCAUUUCACAGGAGCUGUCACUGCCUCUCUCCUUGAUGGCGGGGUAUGAAGAGAAGCCUUUUGACGCAGGGAGAUGACCCCUCCCCGGCCUCCACCUACACAGCAGCCACGUGGCCACCCUGAACAGCUGCCACAGUGACCGACACCCCCUGGAUGUGUUUGUCCUCCCACAGCAAAGCACAAUUAACAUCCCCACUGGUAAAUGAUAUGGGGCCAUAUUUCACCUGGACCCAAAUGUGGGCCACAGAGGCAUUAAAAUAAAUGACGGCACGG